GAGAGAGAGACUUAUGUGUAGCAGGUGAGCCCCAAACUUCAGCCAACCCCCACCCCCUGAACGACACACAUCACACAGACCAGGCACAGGUCCCUGGCUACUAUCCAAAGCUCUGAACUGGGCAUUUUAAAUUCGAUUCAGACAAAAGCACUUUCAGGCCUACCGUGCUGGUCCUGGUGCUGUUAGCAUGGUGGGACCCUCCAAAAAGGCCAGCACUGCCUCCAGCUCUGGGCCUCCAGACACAAAUGCCGGCUCUUCCUUGUGGAAGAAUGGAGGCGGCGGCAGGGAAAUGCCUGCCGGCUUCUUCUGGGGCAGGCUGUGGCUAUCCACUGUGCCUGAGCUAUUGGGUGUCCCGCAGCUGGCUGGAGGCGGGCACACAGGAGGCCCAGGAUGCAAUGUGAUGGUGGGGAAGGGUGUUCUGUUUUCAAACCCCUCGGAACCGCCUACCGAGAGCAGCCUCCUCUAAACCUAUCCAGUUGCCCGUCAUCUCGCUGGUCCUUCGUUCUGGUUCUGCAUUCUUCCGAGGAGCUGGGGUAGGAACGGGUUGGGGGCUGGGCUCGCUUUCCCCACUCAUCCGAGCCAACCGGCCGCUCUGCAGUGAGGCCCCAGCGCACCUAGGUGGAGCCCGACCCGCAGUUUUCAGCUGGACCAGCCCCACCUGACCCUCCGGCACGCCAGACGGGGGCGCUGCAGGGCGGCCGGGUCCCCGGGGUCCCCUCCGCGGCCCAGUGCGCAUCGGCAGCUCGGCGGCCCGGGCGCUGCACAGACGGCGGCAGGCGCGGGCCAGAGUCCGAGGCAGCGCGGCCUGGCCGCCUGGGCCGACAGAGAGCCACGCCGCGUUCCCGUUCCCGCCGCAGCUCGCAAAGACGCCGAGCCGAGUGGCGGGCGCGCGCCACCAGUACUGGAGCAGCGGCGUCCCGCGGGCGCCGAGGCGCGCAGCGUCUCCGGCCCCACCUGUCGGCGCGGCCACCCUCAGCGUCGCCCCCGGCGUCCCCAGCCAGUGCGGGCGGCUCGCGGCAGCGCUGAGCCCGGCCUCGUCCCGGCUGCGGCGGCGGAGGCGCGCUCUCCCGGCUGGGCGCGGAGGCCGGCACCGUCCCGGGUGAGGGGACCGGCCCGGUAGCUCCCGGGCCGAGCAAGUUGGACUGCGGCUGACUCGGCCCGGCCGUGCGGGCCCCAGCGGCAGCGAUGGUGCUGCAGCUCCGCGAGCGGUGCGCAGCCCCGGCCCUGAGGCUGGCCCUGCUCGGCGGUGGCAGCGGCGGAGGAGCGGCCCCCCUAAGCCCCCCGCCGGAGCAAGACCGGGCAGCGGCAGCGGCGGAGCCUGAGAAGGCGGCGGCGGUAGAGCAGCGGAGGAAGGCGACGCGGAUCUCUGGCGCGGGGCGACAGGCGACCAGCGCCGGGGCCGCGCCGGACCCCCGAGCCCGCCGAGCCGUUGCGCAAUCCGCGGCCGGUCUGGGCCCUGCUGGCGGCGCGGCUCCGGGGGCGGCGGCGGGGCUGAUUCAUGGGGCCGCGGCGGCCAGUACCCCGCGCCCGGGCCCCCGGCGCCCCGCAGCGCGCGAUGGUGGCCGAGUGGCCGGAGCGGCGGCCGCCGCGGCCCGAGACUUUCUGCUAACCUCCCCGCCCCCGCCCGCCCCCCUCCCCGGCGCCCUCCCUCGCGCCGUCCCCUCCCCCUGCCCAAAAGACACAGAUCGCCUCCCGGAGUGGCGCCUCCAGUCGCGGCGGAGCGCGGCGUUGGCGGCGGAUGGAGGGCGCGAUCGGGCGGCCGCCGCGGCUGCACCCAGCGGGGCGCUGAUGCGGCGCCUGGACCUUAGCUGCGCGACUUCGGGGGCGUCGGCCGAGUUGGCACUCCGCGAUGCAGCUCCUGAAGGCACUCUGGGCACUCGCAGGGGCCGCGCUCUGCUGCUUCCUGGUCUUAGUGAUUCACGCGCAGUUCCUCAAAGAAGGUCAGCUGGCCGCUGGAACCUGUGAGAUUGUGACCCUAGACCGGGACAGCAGCCAGCCACGGAGGACGAUUGCCCGGCAGACAGCACGCUGCGCAUGCAGGAAGGGGCAGAUUGCAGGCACCACGCGAGCCCGGCCUGCUUGUGUGGACGGUCUCCUGACAAUCGCAGCCCCUGCGGUGCCCCUGGGAGUGGCCGUGGCUCUCUGGAGAUUCUACACCUCAGCCACAGUCCUCCACCCUGUGUGGACACCGCCUGUACUCCACCUUCCCACAGUUUCCCAGAGGCCUAACCAGGACAGUCCAGUUCCUCGGAGCUCAAGUCUGUCCAGCUGAACCCAGGAGGCCAGGACUCAGACACACAGGUCAGGGGUGGUGACAGGAAUCAGCAAUACCUGGUGUGUGGAGCCUGGCUGCACCCACCCUCAUCAGCUACUUGCUCCCUGGAGUUGGAGGACAAGAACAAGGAGGCUGCAGCCCAGCCAGCUGAGCCACAACGCAAGGUCCGGGGACUGUCGGGUGCAGAAGCCACCAUUUCCUGUGUCCCAGACUGUCUGAAUCGCUUUUAUUUUCUUAUACUUUCAGUAUACUCAAUAGACCAAAGAGCAAAUCUAUUUUAACGUGGACACGCCCUUGCUGCCAAGAGUUCCUGGGUUUGAUUGUGGGGCGGGGGAGGGCACAGUGGCAGACAUGCUGGUGGCCCAGGCAGCAUGGAGAGGGCAUCUGCGGCCAAGACUCCCGCCCCACGAACACUGCAGCGUGCUCUAGGAGGAUGGCUUUGCCCAGAAGGACACCACUGUGGUGCAGCUGCAGGACCCAGCCGGGGCGUGGCCGGAGACGGCCCCCAGCGGACAGCAAGGGCCCCGGACACAGACCCUUUGCCCCUGUGCUUAGACCAACUCUAUCGUACUAAAAUCACUUUCUGUUUUAACCAGUUAGACAUGCCUCUUCCACAGCUCCAUUUUUGAUAGUUGGAUAAUCCACCAUUUGCCAAGAGCAUGCUGGGUCUCCCGUGACUGCUGUCUCAUCUGAUACACCAUUUAGCUCCAGAAAGCAAAAUUAAAGAAAACGGAAGUAACCCUGUUUGAAAGAGAUCAUUAAAUGUAUUUUGCAAAAGCCUAAAGUUAUAUAUUUAACAGUUUUUAUAUGUUGUAUAUUUGUAGAAAAUCCUAUUUAACAUUUGACGGCAGGUCUGACCAUCACAAGAGUUGUGGCCAGGCCCCCUGUGAUCCUGGAAACUCUGGGGUUGGCCUUGGAGGACCUCAAUGCAGGGAUGGAGGGGCCAAGCUGUGGUUGAGGUGCAGAGGACCUUGCCCAGGCUAGGAAGCUCUGUCUCUCUUUGCUUUGGUUCGGUCUGGUAGCUCACGCCCCCCCCUGUGAGUCUGUGUGUUGGUAAACAUUGUGUGUACAAUAAUUUGGUCAUGCCUCCUCUGACGGAUUUUGGUCCCUCUCAACUCUCUCAACCCCCUUUGCCAUCCAUAGAUCUUGAGUCCAUGUUCGGCCAACUUGUCCUUCCCAAGUAAAUGGCCCCCUUCAUUCACAGAGGUCCUCGGUCUCCACAUCAGGGGGUGACACAGCAGGGCUGGGGGGUGGGGUAGAGGAGCUGGGGAAGAGUCACUUUCCUUGGUUACCCUACACUGUGGUGCCAGAGGCCAGCGGAUAAGGGACAGACACCGUCCCCAUUCAUUUUCCUAAGUUCUUCUAAAAGUAUACUACCUACAUGUCCAAUUAACAUGAUUAUCAUGCUAGUAAUAUGCUACUAAAGAAAAGAGUAAAAACAAUGUAUUUAACUCCAGUAUAUAGAUGCCGUUCCAGCAACCAUAGGCUAAAGAUAGGAAAGAAAGUUCUGUGAGAUCACGUGUUCUCCCUUCACUCAUACAGAGGGAUGAGCAUCCUGGGCAGAGAGAUGAGGCUGAAAGGGGGUUCCCCUCAGAGAAGGUUGUCAGUCAAGGUCACUGUCCCCACGGUGCCAGGCUCCGGCGGCCUGUGUUGCAGGUGGUGAACAGGGCAGGAGGUCUCAUUUUACCUCAGAACCUCAGCAUACAUACAACCUCCCCUCAGCUGUUUCUUUUCAAAGCUAGCAUAGACCCCUCCGAGGGCAGAGACCGGGAGAUUUAAGAUGUUGCAGCAUAUUUCCCCCCUUGUUUUACGGUAUCCAAUUUUGUGUUGAUUCAGCUAAAUUAUGAAAAUAAAGAAAAAAAAGUCCUUUGAUAA